rnacentral:rRNA from 1 species
ACUUUUAGCGAUGGAUAUUUCGGCUCGGACAACGAUGAAGAGCGCAGCGAAGUGCGAGAAGCACUGCGAAUUGCAGAAUUCCGCGAGUCAAUUGAAAUUUGAAUGCAUGCUGCGCUUUCGGGCAGGCCUGAAGGCAUGCCUGCUUCAGUGUC